GGCAGGAGCAGGGCAGAGAAGGAAAGAUGCCCAGUGAGGCAUGACUGUGCAUUGAAGCGUUUGUCCACACGUUUCUGACACACAAGUUCUUUCAGCUAGUGGACAAGCAUGUGAAAACACGAAUAAAAGGCAUUUACCUUUGGAUCCUGUAAACAUCGUCUCUG
rnacentral:lncRNA from 1 species